rnacentral:rRNA from 1 species
AAGUCGUAACAAGGUUUCCGUAGGUGAACCUGCGGAAGGAUCAUUAAAAAUGAAGCCGGGAAACCGGUCCUUCUAACCCUUGAUUAUCUCAAUUUGUUGCUUUGGUGGGCCGCGCAAGCACCGGCUUCGGCUGGAUCGUGCCCGCCAGAGGACCACAACUCUGUAUUAAAUGUCGUCUGAGUACUAUAAAAUAGUUAAAACUUUCAACAACGGAUCUCUUGGUUCUGGCAUCGAUGAAGAACGCAGCGAAAUGCGAUAAGUAAUGUGAAUUGCAGAAUUCAGUGAAUCAUCGAAUCUUUGAACGCACAUUGCGCCCUCUGGUAUUCCGGAGGGCAUGCCUGUUCGAGCGUCAUAAUGACCAAAUCACCCCCGUGGUGGACUUGGAGUUGGCCUGUACUGGCCUCUCUUAAAAUCAGUGGCGGUGCUCUGAAGCUCUACGCGUAGUAAUUUUUUCUCGCGACAGGGUCUUGAUGGUACUUGCCAACAACCCCAACUAUUAUAAGGUUGACCUCGGAUCAGGUAGGGAUACCCGCUGAACUUAAGCAUAUCAAUAAGCGGAGGAAAAGAAACCAACAGGGAUUACCUCAGUAACGGCGAGUGAAGCGGUAACAGCUCAAAUUUGAAAUCUGGCUCUUUUAGGGUCCGAGUUGUAAUUUGUAGAAGAUGCUUUGGGCAUUGCUCCGGUCUAAGUUCCUUGGAACAGGACGUCAUAGAGGGUGAGAAUCCCGUAUGUGACUGGUGGCAUUUGUCCGUGUAAAGCUCUUUCGACGAGUCGAGUUGUUUGGGAAUGCAGCUCAAAAUGGGUGGUAUAUUUCAUCUAAAGCUAAAUAUUGGCCAGAGACCGAUAGCGCACAAGUAGAGUGAUCGAAAGAUGAAAAGCACUUUGGAAAGAGAGUUAAACAGUACGUGAAAUUGUUGAAAGGGAAGCGCUUGCAACCAGACUUGCAGGUCGUUGAUCAUCCGGGGUUCUCCCCGGUGCGCUCGGCGGCUUUCAGGCCAGCAUCGGUUUGAGUGGUGGGAUAAAGGCCUUGGGAAUGUGGCUCCUCUCGGGGAGUGUUAUAGCCCAAGGUGCAAUGCCGCCUAUUCGGACCGAGGACCGCGCUUCGGCUAGGAUGCUGGCGUAAUGGUUGUAAGCGACC